AGUGAACGCUGGCGGUAGGCCUAACACAUGCAAGUCGAACGGCAGCACAGUAAGAGCUUGCUCCUACGGGUGGCGAGUGGCGGACGGGUGAGGAAUACAUCGGAAUCUACUUUUUCGUGGGGGAUAACGUAGGGAAACUUACGCUAAUACCGCAUACGACCUACGGGUGAAAGCAGGGGAUCUUCGGACCUUGCGCGAUUGAAUGAGCCGAUGUCGGAUUAGCUAGUUGGAGGGGUAAAGGCCCACCAAGGCGACGAUCCGUAGCUGGUCUGAGAGGAUGAUCAGGCCCACUGGAACUUAGACCCGGUCCCGGCUCCUACGGGAGGCCGCAGUGGGGAAUAUUGGACAAUGGGCCGAAGCCUUAUCCCACCAUACCGCGUGGGUUAAGAAGGCCUUCGGGUUUUAAAGCCCUUUUGUUGGGAAAGAAAAGCAGCAGGUUAAUUCCCCGCUGUUCUGACGGUACCCAAAGAAUAAGCACCGGCUAACUUCGUG
rnacentral:rRNA from 1 species